rnacentral:tRNA from 1 species
AAAGAAUUAGUUAAAAUUAUAACAUUAGAAUGUCAAACUAAAAUUAUUAAUUUAUUAAUAUUUUUUA